rnacentral:rRNA from 1 species
AGCAGCCGCGGUAAUUCCAGCUCCAAUAGCGUAUAUUAAAGUUGUUGCAGUUAAAAAGCUCGUAGUUGAAUUUCGGGGUCAGUAGAUUGGUCGUGCCACUGGUAUGUACUGGUCUCACUGGCUCCUCCUUCCUGAUGAACCGUAAUGCCAUUAAUUUGGUGUUGCGGGGAGACUGGACUGUUACUUUGAAAAAAUUAGAGUGUUUAAAGCAGGCUAACGCUUGAAUACAUUAGCAUGGAAUAAUGAAAUAGGACGUUCGAUCUUAUUUUGUUGGUUUCUAGGAUUGACGUAAUGAUUAAUAGGGAUAGUUGGGGGCAUUAGUAUUCAAUUGUCAGAGGUGAAAUUCUUGGAGGAU